rnacentral:rRNA from 1 species
CUAAACGAGAGUUUGAUCCUGGCUCAGAAUCAACGCUGGCGGCGUGCCUCAGACAUGCAAGUCGAACGCGAAAGGCCCCUUCGGGGGCCGAGUAGAGUGGCGUCCGGGUGAGUAACACGUAGGU